rnacentral:rRNA from 1 species
GAUGAACGCUAGCGACAGGCCUAACACAUGCAAGUCGAGGGGCAGCACAAGGAGCAAUCUGAGGUGGCGACCGGCGCACGGGUGAGUAACACGUAUGCAACCUGCCUGUAAGCGGGGGAUAACCCGUUGAAAGACGGACUAAUACCCUAUAACACAGGGGUCCCGCAUGGGGAUAUUUGUUAAAGGACAACCGGUUGAAGAUGGGCAUGCGUUCCAUUAGCUAGUUGGCGGGGUAACGGCCCACCAAGGCAACGAUGGAUAGGGGAACUGAGAGGUUUAUCCCCCACACUGGUACUGAGACACGGACCAGACUCCUACGGGAGGCAGCAGUAGGGAAUUUUCGGCAAUGGGGGAAACCCUGACCGAGCAAUGCCGCGUGAACGAUGAAGGUCUUCGGAUUGUAAAGUUCUGUGAUUGGGGAAGAAUGGUAUUCUUAGGGAAUGAGGAGUACAUGACGGUACCCGAUUAGAAAGCCCCGGCUAACUAUGUGCCAGCAGCCGCGGUAAGUACG